AUGGCUGUCGUCAGCUCGUGCCGUGAGGUGUUGGGUUAAGUCCCGCAACGAACGCAACCCUUGUCCUAUGUUGCCAGCGGUUCGGCCGGGGACUCAUAGGAGACUGCCGGGGACAACUCGGAGGAAGGUGAGGACGACGUCAAGUCAUCAUGCCCCUUAUGUCCAGGGCUUCACGCAUGCUACAAUGGCCGGUACAGAGGGCUGCGAUACCGUAAGGUGGAGCGAAUCUCUUAAAGCCGGUCUCAGUUCGGAUCGGGGUCUGCAACUCGACCCCGUGAAGUCGGAGUCGCUAGUAAUCGCAGAUCAGCAACGCUGCGGUGAAUACGUUCCCGGGCCUUGUACACACCGCCCGU
rnacentral:rRNA from 1 species